UUAGGAGUAGGAUCUAGCGCGUUAAGUGUCGGCGGAACGGAAUGUGAACGCUGAACGAAAAACUAAUCGUUUGCGGUGCUAGAUCCGCAUUCGCCACU
rnacentral:ncRNA from 2 species